GCAAUUUUAUUUUCUGAACUGAAUAUAAGGAAGUUUCGUUUCUAAGAUGUUAUUCACUUGAUUUCACAUUGUACUCUUUCAAAACUCAGCUGAGGAUGACUUCUGUUGUACAGCUUGAAACCAGCUUCUCCAAGAACCAGCUUUGAAGUAAAAUUAAAGGUUCUAUGCGGACCAGCAGAAUAUCCCUGUCUACAUAUAAUAACAGGAGUUAAAAAUGUUGUUUGACCUAAAUUAAGGG
rnacentral:lncRNA from 1 species